rnacentral:lncRNA from 1 species
AACUUACAAAAGGAUGUGAAGCAUCUAACCAUUUUCUAUAUUACACAACUAUUCUCCUCUCUGAAUAACACUGUAAAUCCACACUGUGUUCAGGAAUUAUCUAUUAGUUUAGUGACCAUUUCAGAACAUAUUGAGAGUAGUUUAAUACUAUCUUGGUAAACAUCGCAGAGAGAUAUCAUUAUGAAAGCACAUUUACAUACUUAAAUAAACAUAAAGUCAGAGAAAUUAGUUACCAUUGUACAAAUAAUUUUAUUUGAAUCUAAGUGAUAGAGUAGUGUUGAGAACUUCAAGACAAAAAGUCAUUUACAGAUAAACAUUUUAGAGCUUUUACAAGGCACAACUCUGAAGAAUAAAAAAUGCAUUCUAAUUUGUUUUCUAACUCUGUAUGGUCUGAGAUUAUUGGUAGACAUAUACCUAAGAGGCUGGCUGUUAGAGUGAUGAUUUCAUUUUCUCAAAAUAGAAUAUAAAUUAAUUUGAUUCAAAUUUAUUUCCCUUUGCAAUUCAAGGGUUACACGCAGAGAGUAAUUCAGAAGGGAAUCUGAAUAGCCACACAGCUUUCAUGCAUACCUCGGUUUGUUUGAGGGUUUCUAAAGACUGUCACUCUGAUUUUAAAAGAAAUAGACUUUUAAAUUAGAAGUGCUCUGUCUCCCAAAGAGGAGAGAAAACCUUUCUAAAAUAUUUGUUCACCACUGGAUGUGUCACCAAUUGAAAAGUGCCAAACUCAUUGAUCAAUGUGAGAAGCGCAGCAGGGAGAGGAGCCAGCUCUCUUGAAAUGUAGUGAGUCUGCUGUUCAGCACAAGACUCGGGAAAUCCUCAUGGUGUGAAUCCGCUUCCUGUGGCUUCAUUUCCUUACCCAUGGACUCCCAAAAAUAAAGCAUAAGGUUCCAUAAUCUGCACACAUAUGAUUGAUUUGUAAAAAUGAUAUGUAUCUGUAUUGUAAGAAGGAACAACCAGGAAUCGUCCUAUUUGAAGUCAUUUGGUUACUAUGGUUAUCAAUCAUAAGUGACAUCUAAUCUUGCCAUUCACUAGUUUGUGCGGUGACGUUUCUUUCCUCUCUUUGAAAUGUAUCAGUUGUAUGUAAAAUGUAAAGAUACUGAUUUUCGCCUCUUAAAAAAUGAUAAUGUGCAUGUGUUUUUAAUUUCUGUGUUUUAUUAACCAAGCCAGUGUUCUAAAGUAAUAGGUUAAUUGUACGAGUUACAUAGAAACAUUUUAUCAAAAAUUAAGUGUGUCUAGAAUUUUGGAAUUGUCACAAAUAAUGCAAAAUACCCUUAGCUCUGUUUAUAAAACAAUACUAACCACUAUAUAAUAAAAGAGAUGCAAGUUCACAUCUCCUGUUAAGUGGAGCUGUUACUAUCAGUUGAGCACUUAUACAUUUGCAUGUCUGCAAUUUAAAUUCUAUGUCGAAGUGAAAGGCAGUAAAGAAGAUAUGUGUACGCCCACUGAAGUGGGUUUUCAGAAGCACAAUGAAAACUAUUCACCUUUGGAAGGUGUUUUGGUGAUGAUGGUACAUUAGAUGGAAAGAGAGUCUGGUGUUAGAGACUUAGUAGGUAUAGAAUGUUGCAUAGUAGUAAAUAUCUCUUCCUUAUUUUAUUCUUUCUAAACAUUAAAAGGGAAAGUGAAUGUGAUGAUGAAUUGUCUUUGUUUAAACAUUGCCAGAUAUUUAACCUCAAUGUAAAUAAGAUGUAGGGAUAAUAUGAUGGUGAUGAUGAUCCUAUAACGAACGAAUGAACAGAAUCAGAAUGGCAACUUUAUUUGAAAUUUGAUAGCUGAACAAGUCAUCACUUUUUUUUUUUUCUGUGCACUGGCACAGCUGGUUACAUUGAAUAUUUUUCCUUCAUUAUGCUGUUAAUUACAUAGUAAUGUAUCAGGAAAGAAAUAGAUAAAACUUUCUGCUCAUUUCUUGUUAAUUUCUAAGUCUUUUCACACAUCAAUGAUUGAGUGUUCUUAUUCAGAAUGACCACGUAAUUGUCACAUAGAAGAAGCUGCUAUUUCUUUUAAAAAUGUCUGUUUAUAAUAACCAAACUCAAAUUCAUUUUCUCAAUGUUAAUAGGGAAAAAAAAGAAGUUGGCAAAAAAUACGUUCCAUCUUUGCAAGCUGGGUGCUAUAUUCACUGAAGUUUGAGUGGUCAACUAUUUGUGAAUAUUUAGACUACUGUAGUUUUCAAUUAAUUAUGUAAAAGUAUAUAUAUACUGAAUUUGUAACAAUCUGAGACUAAACUCAGACUCUGUCCUUUGAGAAUAUGUUGAUCAAAAUCCCAUGGUUUCAGGUAGGCCAGAGACAUCUGUGCAGCCUGUCUGACUCUUUCACAGGCAUCAGGAUAUCUUGUGUUCCUGCCUCAGGAUGAAUUCAGGAAGGAUAACCAGUUUUGUAUUGGUUCCCAUCUGCAUUUGUUUGUGCUUUCAGUUUGUGUACAUGUUUUUGUAGUGUAAGAUAUUAAAUUUUAUAUUUUUUCAGAAAAUAAAAAACAUUUGAAU